rnacentral:rRNA from 1 species
UACAGAGGGUGCGAGCGUUAAUCGGAAUUACUGGGCGUAAAGCGCACGUAGGUGGUUUUGUAAGUCGGAUGUGAAAUCCCCGGGCUCAACCCGGGAACUGCAUUCGAGACUGCAUUACUCGAGUAUGGGAGAGGGAAGCGGAAUUUCCGGUGUAGCGGUGAAAUGCGUAGAUAUCGGAAGGAACACCAGUGGCGAAAGCGGCUUCCUGGUCCAGCACCGACGUUCAGGCACGAAAGCGUGGGGAGCAAACAGG